CCUACGGGCGGCAGCAGUGAGGAAUAUUGGUCAAUGGGCGGAAGCCUGAACCAGCCAAGUAGCGUGCAGGAUGACGGCCCUACGGGUUGUAAACUGCUUUUAUACGGGAAUAACGCGCCUUACGUGUAGGGCUUUGCAUGUCCCGUAUGAAUAAGGCCAGGCUAAUUCCGUGCCAGCAGCCGCGGUAAUACGGUAGGUCCGGUCGUUAUCCGGAUUUAUUGGGUUGAAAGGGAGCGUAGGCCGGAUGUCAAGCGUACUGUGAAAUGUCCGGGCUCAACCCGGGACUUGCAGCGCGAACUGGCGUGCUGGAGUCCGCGGAAAGCAGGCGGAAUU
rnacentral:rRNA from 1 species